UUCCAAGAAAAUGGGACAACAGGGGUGGAAAUCUGGACAGGGAUUAUCUCUCUUAUAUUGGGACACUUGGGAGGUCAGAAAUCAAGAAUCCAUUAGAAAUGAGUUUGACAGAAGCUCCAACGGAUGGGGAAUUUGAACACAAAAUACAAGGGCGGCUCAGAUCCUAGGGAGCUGCUGGGUUCUGGCAGGCGUCCUGUCAAAUGGAGACACGGUGCUAAAGAAGGUGGCAAGGACUCCCAAGAAUAACAAAUUCACCAAGUUAUUUCCAAUAUUCAAUUAGCUUAAAUAUGGCCCUACUGUGUCUGCCAAUCAUCUAUGGCAAUGACAUCCAUAUUUUUGGUUCCAUAACUCAAAUACAGAACUUACUUUAUAGGGCCGGUAGUGAU